GGUAUAGAGUAGUUGUAUAAUGUUGUUCUCCUUAAAAAUAUAGUUGACCCAAAGGGUACAGAGAGGUACAGAGAAGAGUACAUAAGUGCAGCGCCACUUGGACUGAGGACCAGUAUACUGAGUUCUACUUGUACUGUGGACAAAUAAACACCACGACAUUUCACAGAUUUGGUUUCACGUUUGUACAAAGGUGCACUGUUGUACAAAACACGUUUGCGAAAGAAAGACACAUUUUGGACGACCUAAUAUUUCUUUAAUGAGGUUUAGCAAGAUACAACAGAAAACGAAGAAGCUAGAGUACAUUUUGUAUGUUUUGAAAAGAAUGAGAAAAAUUGGCAAGGCCUUUUUUAUUUAUAAAUCCAGCAAUUACUUGAAACUAUCCAAAGGGAAAGCCCAGACGUAAAUAAAACUCGCGAUCAUGGUUUCUGUUGCGGUUUUCACCAACGAUAUUUACGAUCCUGUGGAGAAAUAGAGUAUCAGAACGAAAUGCAAACAAAAGAGGGUGAAACGAAUCCUCGAGCUACCUGCGGUGAAAACUGACCCGGCAUCGAGGUUUGCCUUCAUACAAAUUACUCUCUAAAGUAACUGCUACUAAUUUUUCAUUCAUACACUUUCUAACUGUUUGAAAUCGAUCCAUUUGUUGAAUCCACAUACAAUAUGAAUUCUGAAAUAUAUCUGUUCUUGUUUAUAGUAAAUAAAAUUUCAUUUUUAUGAACUCAUUAGGGAACAGAGACUUUAUAUAUUGUAACU